AUUGAACGCUGGCGGAAUGCUUUACACAUGCAGGUCGAACGGCAGCACGGGGGCAACCCUGGUGGCGAGUGGCGAACGGGUGAGUAAUACAUCGGAACGUGCCCAGUCGUGGGGGAUAACGUAGCGAAAGUUACGCUAAUACCGCAUACGAUCUAAGGAUGAAAGCGGGGGAUCGCAAGACCUCGCGCGAUUGGAGCGGCCGAUAUCAGAUUAGGUAGUUGGUGGGGUAAAGGCUCACCAAGCCAACGAUCUGUAGCUGGUCUGAGAGGACGACCAGCCACACUGGAACUGAGACACGGUCCAGACUCCUACGGGAGGCAGCAGUGGGGAAUUUUGGACAAUGGACGCAAGUCUGAUCCAGCCAUUCCGCGUGCAGGAUGAAGGCCCUCGGGUUGUAAACUGCUUUUGUACGGAACGAAAAGGUCUCUCUUAAUACGGGGGGCUCAUGACGGUACCGUAAGAAUAAGCACCGGCUAACUACGUGCCAGCCGCCGCCGUAA
rnacentral:rRNA from 1 species